rnacentral:rRNA from 1 species
UACAGAGGGUGCGAGCGUUGUCCGGAAUCACUGGGCGUAAAGGGCGCGUAGGCGGUCCGUUAAGCGUGUGGUGAAAGCCCGGGGCUCAACUCCGGGUCUGCCGUGCGAACUGGGGGACUGGAGCUUGUCAGAGGCAGGCGGAAUUCCGGGUGUAGCGGUGGAAUGCGUAGAGAUCCGGAAGAACACCGGUGGCGAAGGCGGCCUGCUGGGACAGUGCUGACGCUGAGGCGCGACAGCGUGGGGAGCAAACAGG